rnacentral:rRNA from 1 species
CCCUUAGAUGUUCUGGGCCGCACGCGUGCUACACUGAGUGGAUCAGCGGGUCAGGUUGCGCGAAAGUGUUUCCUAAUCUUGAAAUCCGCUCGUGAUGGGGAUUGACGGUUGCAACUUUCCGUCAUGAACGAGGAAUACCUUGUAAGCGCGGGUCAUCAUCCCGCGCUGAAUACGUCCCUGCCCUUUGUACACACCGCCCGUCGCUCCUACCGAUUGAGUGGUCCGGUGAGGCUUUGGGAUCUGAGCGGAAAGAGCGUUUCGCUGUUUCUGCUCGGAAAACUCAGUCGAACCUUAUCAUUUAGAGGAAGGAGAAGUCGUAACA